rnacentral:rRNA from 1 species
GACGAACGCUGGCGGCGUGCUUAACACAUGCAAGUCGAACGAUGAAGCUAGAGCUUGCUCUGGUGAAUUAGUGGCGAACGGGUGAGUAACACGUGAGUAACCUGCCCCGAACUCUGGGAUAACUGCGGGAAACUGUAGCUAAUACCGGAUACGACCCUCGGCGGCAUCGCCAGGGGGUGGAAAGAAUUUCGGUCAAGGAUGGACUCGCGGCCUAUCAGCUAGUUGGUGGGGUAACGGCUCACCAAGGCGACGACGGGUAGCCGGCCUGAGAGGGUGAGCGGCCACACUGGGACUGGAACACGGCCCGGAGUCCUACGGGAGGCAGCAGUGGGAAAGAUUGCACAAUGGGCGCAAGCCUGAUGCAGCAACGCCGCGUGGGGGAUGACGGCCUUCGGGUUGUAAACCUCUUUUAGCAGGGAAGAAGCGAAAGUGACGGUACCUGCAGAAAAAGCACCGGCUAACUACGUGCCAGCCGCCGCCGUAA